CUGAAGGCAUUACUUGGCCUUACUUGGACAUUUUGAUGGCUCACUGAUGUGGAAUGGCCCAUACCUGAUGUUGCACCAGAAUGCCAACAUGCUCCCAUUGUUAGCGCUGAAGGCACCAAGGUAUUUUCAAGAUUUUCAGGAAUAUCAAAACCAACAGAUUCUCAACUGCACACUUUCAUGACAACCUGCCCUACACUCCCAGAGGUACACCUAAAUGUCUCCAGUCAGUUCUCUCAACCUGACCAGAGUAAUGAGUCUUACAGGCAGAUCAACCUGUGACAAGUUCAUCUCCACUUAAUGGAAACAAUGACCUCAUGGUGGGAGAUCGGGUUGUCCCCUCAGCUGGAGCACACAGCUCAUGAUGGGAACCAGAUUGCAAUAACUACUUCUUCAGGACCUCAAAGAACCAGUCCUGAGAUAAUGUUCAACUGGAUCAUAGUUUGAUCAAGACUGCUUAAUUAUGCAUACCUCUUGUCCUCUACCCCAUUUCUUCCUUUAUUUAAAUCUAGUGCUCAUGUCAGUAUCUCUCAAGACUGAGACUGAUUGUCUUCCCAAUAUAAACUAUAUUGAAUAAAUUCCUUUUCUAUUUCA